AGUAGCAUUCUUGCAGAUGUGUACUGCUGUUUUAAGUUUCUCCUUCCCCUAUUCAAGCUUUUGCUUGUAAUAUUUUAAGUUUCCAGAGUAUGACUUUGUAACAGUUGUAUAACAGCAUCCGUCAGAGAGGAAAUGAAGGCAUGGAUACCAAGUGUGUUAUAUAUUCACCAUCAGAAAACAACCAAAAUUGUUGCUCCUCUCCCUCUUCCUCUUCUUCUGCCGGGAUGGUUCUUGCUGACAUUGGU
rnacentral:misc_RNA from 1 species